GGGUUGUGAGGUUAAGCGACUAAGCGUACACGGUGGAUGCCCUGGCAGUCAGAGGCGAUGAAGGACGUGCUAAUCUGCGAAAAGCGUCGGUAAGGUGAUAUGAACCGUUAUAGCCGGCGAUGUCCGAAUGGGGAAACCCAGUGCAAUUCGUUGCACUAUCGUUUGAUGAAUACAUAGUCAAACGAGGCGAACCGGGGGAACUGAAACAUCUAAGUACCCCGAGGAAAAGAAAUCAACCGAGAUUCCCCCAGUAGCGGCGAGCGAACGGGGAGCAGCCCGGAGUCUGAAUCAGCUUGUGUGUUAGUGGAAGCGUCUGGAAAGUCGCAGGGUACAGGGUGAUACUCCCGUACACUAAAGCACACAGGUUGUGAACUCGAAGAGUAGGGCGGGACACGUGGUAUCCUGUCUGAAUAUGGGGGGACCAUCCUCCAAGGCUAAAUACUCCUGACUGACCGAUAGUGAACCAGUACCGUGAGGGAAAGGCGAAAAGAACCCCGGCGAGGGGAGUGAAAAAGAACCUGAAACCGUGUACGUACAAGCAGUAGGAGCCCACUAGUUGGGUGACUGCGUACCUUUUGUAUAAUGGGUCAGCGACUUAUAUUCUGUAGCAAGGUUAACCGUAUAGGGGAGCCGCAGGGAAACCGAGUCUUAACUGGGCGUUAAGUUGCAGGGUAUAGACCCGAAACCCGGUGAUCUAGCCAUGGGCAGGUUGAAGGUUGGGUAACACUAACUGGAGGACCGAACCGACUAAUGUUGAAAAAUUAGCGGAUGACUUGUGGCUGGGGGUGAAAGGCCAAUCAAACCGGGAGAUAGCUGGUUCUCCCCGAAAGCUAUUUAGGUAGCGCCUCGUGAACUCAUCUUCGGGGGUAGAGCACUGUUUCGGCUAGGGGGUCAUCCCGACUUACCAACCCGAUGCAAACUACGAAUACCGAAGAAUGUUAUCACGGGAGACACACGGCGGGUGCUAACGUCCGUCGUGAAGAGGGAAACAACCCAGACCGCCAGCUAAGGUCCCAAAGUCAUGGUUAAGUGGGAAACGAUGUGGGAAGGCCCAGACAGCCAGGAUGUUGGCUUAGAAGCAGCCAUCAUUUAAAGAAAGCGUAAUAGCUCACUGGUCGAGUCGGCCUGCGCGGAAGAUGUAACGGGGCUAAACCAUGCACCGAAGCUGCGGCAGCGACACUAUGUGUUGUUGGGUAGGGGAGCGUUCUGUAAGCCGUUGAAGGUGGCCUGUGAGGGUUGCUGGAGGUAUCAGAAGUGCGAAUGCUGACAUAAGUAACGAUAAUGCGGGUGAAAAACCCGCACGCCGGAAGACCAAGGGUUCCUGUCCAACGUUAAUCGGGGCAGGGUGAGUCGACCCCUAAGGCGAGGCCGAAAGGCGUAGUCGAUGGGAAACAGGUUAAUAUUCCUGUACUCGGUGUUACUGCGAAGGGGGGACGGAGAAGGCUAUGUUGGCCGGGCGACGGUUGUCCCGGUUUAAGCAUGUAGGCGGAUGUUCCAGGUAAAUCCGGAACGUCACUAACGCUGAGGUGUGAUGACGAGGCACUACGGUGCUGAAGUGACAAAUGCCCUGCUUCCAGGAAAAGCCUCUAAGCAUCAGGUAACAUCAAAUCGUACCCCAAACCGACACAGGUGGUCAGGUAGAGAAUACCAAGGCGCUUGAGAGAACUCGGGUGAAGGAACUAGGCAAAAUGGUGCCGUAACUUCGGGAGAAGGCACGCUGAUGGUAGGUGAAGCGACUUGCUCGUGGAGCUGAAAUCAGUCGAAGAUACCAGCUGGCUGCAACUGUUUAUUAAAAACACAGCACUGUGCAAACACGAAAGUGGACGUAUACGGUGUGACGCCUGCCCGGUGCCGGAAGGUUAAUUGAUGGGGUUAUCCGUAAGGAGAAGCUCUUGAUCGAAGCCCCGGUAAACGGCGGCCGUAACUAUAACGGUCCUAAGGUAGCGAAAUUCCUUGUCGGGUAAGUUCCGACCUGCACGAAUGGCGUAAUGAUGGCCAGGCUGUCUCCACCCGAGACUCAGUGAAAUUGAACUCGCUGUGAAGAUGCAGUGUACCCGCGGCAAGACGGAAAGACCCCGUGAACCUUUACUAUAGCUUGACACUGAACACUGGUCCUUGAUGUGUAGGAUAGGUGGGAGGCUUUGAAGUGUGGACGCCAGUCUGCAUGGAGCCAUCCUUGAAAUACCACCCUUUAAUGGCUGGUGUUCUAACGUGGGCCCGUAAUCCGGGUUGCGGACAGUGUCUGGUGGGUAGUUUGACUGGGGCGGUCUCCUCCUAAAGAGUAACGGAGGAGCACGAAGGUCAGCUAAUCCUGGUCGGACAUCAGGAGGUUAGUGCAAUGGCAUAAGCUGGCUUGACUGCGAGCGUGACGGCGCGAGCAGGUGCGAAAGCAGGUCAUAGUGAUCCGGUGGUUCUGAAUGGAAGGGCCAUCGCUCAACGGAUAAAAGGUACUCCGGGGAUAACAGGCUGAUACCGCCCAAGAGUUCAUAUCGACGGCGGUGUUUGGCACCUCGAUGUCGGCUCAUCACAUCCUGGGGCUGAAGUAGGUCCCAAGGGUAUGGCUGUUCGCCAUUUAAAGUGGUACGCGAGCUGGGUUUAGAACGUCGUGAGACAGUUCGGUCCCUAUCUGCCGUGGGCGCUGGAGAAUUGAGGGGGGCUGCUCCUAGUACGAGAGGACCGGAGUGGACGCAUCACUGGUGUUCGGGUUGUCAUGCCAAUGGCAUUGCCCGGUAGCUAAAUGCGGAAGAGAUAAGUGCUGAAAGCAUCUAAGCACGAAACUUGCCCCGAGAUGAGUUCUCCCUGACUCCUUGAGAGUCCUGAAGGAACGUUGAAGACGACGACGUUGAUAGGCCGGGUGUGUAAGCGCAGCGAUGCGUUGAGCUAACCGGUACUAAUGAACCGUGAGGCUUAACCUUACAACGCCGAAG
rnacentral:rRNA from 1 species